rnacentral:tRNA from 1 species
GGAGGAAUGGCCGAGUGGUUUAAGGCGGCGGUCUUGAAAACCGUUGACGGGGAAACUUGUCCGGGGGUUCGAAUCCCUCUUCCUCCGCCA